rnacentral:rRNA from 1 species
GCUACCUGCAGUCGGACGGUAGCACAGAGGAGCUUGCUCCUCGGGUGACGAGUGGCGGACGGGUGAGUAAUGUCUGGGGAUCUGCCCGAUAGAGGGGGAUAACCACUGGAAACGGUGGCUAAUACCGCAUAACGUCGCAAGACCAAAGAGGGGGACCUUCGGGCCUCUCACUAUCGGAUGAACCCAGAUGGGAUUAGCUAGUAGGCGGGGUAACGGCCCACCUAGGCGACGAUCCCUAGCUGGUCUGAGAGGAUGACCAGCCACACUGGAACUGAGACACGGUCCAGACUCCUACGGGAGGCAGCAGUGGGGAAUAUUGCACAAUGGGCGCAAGCCUGAUGCAGCCAUGCCGCGUGUAUGAAGAAGGCCUUCGGGUUGUAAAGUACUUUCAGCGGGGAGGAAGGCGAUAAGGUUAAUAACCUUGUCGAUUGACGUUACCCGCAGAAGAAGCACCGGCUAACUCCGUGCCAGCAGCCGCGGUAAUACGGAGGGUGCAAGCGUUAAUCGGAAUUACUGGGCGUAAAGCGCACGCAGGCGGUCUGUUAAGUCAGAUGUGAAACCCCCGGGCUUAACCUGGGAACUGCAUUUGAAACUGGCAGGCUUGAGUCUCGUAGAGGGGGGUAGAAUUCCAGGUGUAGCGGUGAAAUGCGUAGAGAUCUGGAGGAAUACCGGUGGCGAAGGCGGCCCCCUGGACGAAGACUGACGCUCAGGUGCGAAAGCGUGGGGAGCAAACAGGAUUAGAUACCCCUGGUAGUCCACGCCGUAAACCAAUGUCGACUUGGAGGUUGUUCCCUUGAGAAGUGGCUUCCGGAGCUAACGCGUUAAGUCGACCGCCUGGGAUACGGCCGCAA